AUUGAACGCUGGCGGCAUGCCUUACACAUGCAAGUCGAACGGCAGCACGGAGCUUGCUCUGGUGGCGAGUGGCGAACGGGUGAGUAAUAUAUCGGAACGUACCCAAGAGUGGGGGAUAACGUAGCGAAAGUUACGCUAAUACCGCAUACGAUCGAAGGAUGAAAGUGGGGGCUCGCAAGACCUCAUGCUCCUGGAGCGGCCGAUAUCUGAUUAGCUAGUUGGUGAGGUAAAGGCUCACCAAGGCAUCGAUCAGUAGCUGGUCUGAGAGGACGACCAGCCACACUGGAACUGAGACACGGUCCAGACUCCUACGGGAGGCAGCAGUGGGGAAUUUUGGACAAUGGGGGCAACCCUGAUCCAGCAAUGCCGCGUGAGUGAAGAAGGCCUUCGGGUUGUAAAGCUCUUUUGUCAGGGAAGAAACGGUGAAGGCUAAUAUCCUUUGCUAAUGACGGUACCUGAAGAAUAAGCACCGGCUAACUACGUGCCAGCAGCCGCGGUAA
rnacentral:rRNA from 1 species